GACGAACGCUGGCGGCGUGCUUAACACAUGCAAGUCGAACGGAAAGGCCCUGCUUUUGUGGGGUGCUCGAGUGGCGAACGGGUGAGUAACACGUGAGUAACCUGCCCUUGACUUUGGGAUAACUUCAGGAAACUGGGGCUAAUACCGGAUAGGAGCUCCUGCUGCAUGGUGGGGGUUGGAAAGUUUCGGCGGUUGGGGAUGGACUCGCGGCUUAUCAGCUUGUUGGUGGGGUAGUGGCUUACCAAGGCUUUGACGGGUAGCCGGCCUGAGAGGGUGACCGGCCACAUUGGGACUGAGAUACGGCCCAGACUCCUACGGGAGGCAGUAGUGGGGAAUAUUGCACAAUGGGCGGAAGCCUGAUGCAGCAACGCCGCGUGCGGGAUGACGGCCUUCGGGUGGGAAACCGCUUUCGCCUGUGACGAAGCGUGAGUGACGGUAAUGGGGAAAGAAGCACCGGCUAACUACGU
rnacentral:rRNA from 1 species